rnacentral:rRNA from 1 species
AAUGAACGCUGGCGGCAGGCCUAACACAUGCAAGUCGAACGAGUGGCGGACGGGUGAGUAAUGUCUGGGAAACUGCCUGAUGGAGGGGGAUAACUCCUGGAAACGGUAGCUAAUACCGCAUACCCUCGGAUCUGCCCAGAUGGGAUUAGCUAGUAGGUGGGGUAACGGCUCACCUAGGCGACGAUCCCUAGCUGGUCUGAGAGGAUGACCAGCCACACUGGAACUGAGACACGGUCCAGACUCCUACGCGAGGCAGCAGUUGGGAAUAUUGCACAAGGGGCGCAAGCCUGAUACAGCCAUGCCGCGUGUAUGAAGAAGGCCUUCGGGUUGUAAAGUACUUUCAGCGGGGAGGCGUUAGCCGAAGAGGAAGCACCGGCUAACUCCGUGCCAGCAGCCGCGGUAAUUC